rnacentral:misc_RNA from 1 species
AAGUCGUAACAAGGUUUCCGUAGGUGAACCUGCGGAAGGAUCAUUCUUGUAUCUCACCACUUUCAGUGGCAAACUCUGUGAACUAUACCUCUACUGUAGUGUAGCAACUGCGGUGGGCGAAUCUGGCGCAAGCGGUGAUGCUUGUAUAGCCACGCUUUUUGGAUUGUGGUUUACUGCUGCAUCAAGCGCAACGCCAGUGCUGUUUCUCGCCCAGUUGUUGCCCUCGUCACUUAACCCUCAACUUCAACCAUCAAACUUACUUAAAUAUUAAUCUAAAUACAACUUUUAGCAACGGAUCUCUAGGCUCUC